GAUGAACGCUGGCGGCGUGCCUAAUACAUGCAAGUCGAGCGAACGGACGAGAAGCUUGCUUCUCUGAUGUUAGCGGCGGACGGGUGAGUAACACGUGGAUAACCUACCUAUAAGACUGUGAUAACUUCGGGAAACCGGAGCUAAUACCGGAUGAUAUUUUGAACCGCAUGGUUCAAAAGUGAAAGACGGUCUUGCUGUCACUUAUAGAUGGAUCCGCGCUGCAUUAGCUAGUUGGUAAGGUAACGGCUUACCAAGGCAACGAUGCAUAGCCGACCUGAGAGGGUGAUCGGCCACACUGGAACUGAGACACGGUCCAGACUCCUAAGGGAGGCAGCAGUAGGGAAUCUUCCGCAAUGGGCGAAAGCCUGACGGAGCAACGCCGCGUGAGUGAUGAAGGUCUUCGGAUCGUAAAACUCUGUUAUUAGGGAAGAACAUAUGUGUAAGUAACUGUGCACAUCUUGACGGUACCUAAUCAGAAAGCCACGGCUAACUACGUG
rnacentral:rRNA from 1 species